rnacentral:rRNA from 1 species
UCCUCCGCUUAUUGAUAUGCUCCGUUUCCGUAGGUGAACCUGCGGAGGGAUCAUUACCGAGUUAUACAACUCCCAAACCCACUGUGAACCUUACCUCAGUUGCCUCGGCGGGAACGCCCCGGCCGCCGGCCUCCGCGCCGGCGCCGGACCCAGGCGCCCGCCGCAGGGACCCAAAACUCUUUUGCAUUACGCCCGCCGGCGGAAUUUCUUCUCUGAGUUGCACAAGCAAAACAAAUGAAUCAAAACUUUCAACAACGGAUCUCUUGGUUCUGGCAUCGAUGAAGAACGCAGCGAAAUGCGAUAAGUAAUGUGAAUUGCAGAAUUCAGUGAAUCAUCGAAUCUUUGAACGCACAUUGCGCCCGCCAGCAUUCUGGCGGGCAUGCCUGUUCGAGCGUCAUUUCAACCCUCGAGCCCCCCCGGGGGCCUCGGUGUUGGGGGACGGCACACCAGCCGCCCCCGAAAUGCAGUGGCGACCCCGCCGCAGCCUCCCCUGCGUAGUAGCACACACCUCGCACCGGAGCGCGGAGGCGGUCACGCCGUGAAACGCCCAACUUUCUUAGAGUUGACCUCGGAUCAGGUAGGAAUACCCGCUGAACUUAAGCAUAUGGACCGCAGGUUCACCUACGGA